CCAGACUCCUACGGGAGGCAGCAGUGGGGGAUAUUGCACAAUGGGGGGAACCCUGAUGCAGCGACGCCGCGUGGGUGAAGAAGUAUUUCGGUAUGUAAAGCCCUAUCGGCAGGGAAGAAUUUAGACGGUACCUGACUAAGAAGCCCCGGCUAACUACGUGCCAGCAGCCGCGGGAAUACGUAGGGGGCAAGCGUUAUCCGGAUUUACUGGGUGUAAGGGGAGCGUAGACGGCGAUGCAAGCCAGAUGUGAAAGCCCGGGGCUCAACCCCGGGACUGCAUUUGGAACUGUGUGGCUGGAGUGUCGGAGAGGCAGGCGGAAUUCCUAGUGUAGCGGUGAAAUGCGUAGAUAUUAGGAGGAACACCAGUGGCGAAGGCGGCCUGCUGGACGAUGACUGACGUUGAGGCUCGAAAGCGUGGGGAGCAAACAGGAUUAGAUACCCUGGUAA
rnacentral:rRNA from 1 species